rnacentral:rRNA from 1 species
AUUGAACGCUGGCGGCAGGCCUAACACAUGCAAGUCGAACGAGCGGCGGACGGGUGAGUAAUGUCUGGGCAACUGCCCGAUGGAGGGGGAUAACUACUGGAAACGGUGGCUAAUACCGCAUACCAUCGGAUGUGCCCAUAUGGGAUUAGCUAGUAGGUGGGGUAACGGCUCACCUAGGCGACGAUCCCUAGCUGGUCUGAGAGGAUGACCAGCCACACUGGGACUGAGACACGGCCCAGACUCCUACGGGAGGCAGCAGUGGGGAAUAUUGCACAAUGGGCGCAAGCCUGAUGCAGCCAUGCCGCGUGUAUGAAGAAGGCCUUAGGGUUGUAAAGUACUUUCAGCGGGGAGGCGUUACCCGCAGAAGAAGCACCGGCUAACUCCGUGCCAGCAGCCGCGGUAAUAC